rnacentral:rRNA from 1 species
CAACCUUUGACAUGGGAAGUAUGAGUCUGAGAGAUCAGAUUCUUCAGUUCGGCUGGCUUCCACACAGGUGCUGCAUGGCUGUCGUCAGCUCGUGUCGUGAGAUGUUGGGUUAAGUCCCGCAACGAGCGCAACCCUCAUCUUCAGUUGCCCCCAGGUAAUGCUGGGCACUCUGAAGAAACCGCCGGUGACAAGCCGGAGGAAGGCGGGGAUGACGUCAAGUCCUCAUGGCCCUUACAGGUUGGGCUACACACGUACUACAAUGGUGGUGACAGUGGGCUGCGAAGGCGCGAGCCGGAGCCAAUCCCCAAAAGCCAUCUCAGUUCGGAUUGCACUCUGCAACUCGAGUGCAUGAAGUUGGAAUCGCUAGUAAUCGCAGAUCAGCACGCUGCGGUGAAUACGUUCCC